AUGCUACAGGUGCCAGAAGAAAAGCAUCCUCACGCUUUCUGGCUGCUGACAGUGGCAGCCCCGACUGAAUGGGGGAAUAGAAUA
rnacentral:snoRNA from 1 species